rnacentral:rRNA from 1 species
AGGAGUGGAGCCUGCGGCUUAAUUUGACUCAACACGGGAAACCUCACCAGGCCCGGACACCGGAAGGAUUGACAGAUUGAGAGCUCUUUCUUGAUUCGGUGGGUGGUGGUGCAUGGCCGUUCUUAGUUGGUGGAGCGAUUUGUCUGGUUAAUUCCGAUAACGAACGAGACUCUAGCCUGCUAACUAGGCGUACUUUCGACAUCUCAAAGGCCCGCCGGCCCGGCGCGCGUCGCGGUCGCGCGCGGUUUUUACUGUCGGCGUCCAAAUUAUUCUUCUUAGAGGGACAGGCGGCUUCUAGCCGCACGAGAUUGAGCAAUAACAGGUCUGUGAUGCCCUUAGAUGUUCUGGGCCG